rnacentral:rRNA from 1 species
GGCUCAGAACGAACGCUGGCGGCGCGUUUUAAGCAUGCAAGUCGAGGGGUAGAGAAUCUUCGGAUUCUUGAGACCGGCGAACGGGUGAGUAACACGUAGGUGAUCUGCCACGAGGUUGGGGAUAGCCCAUGGAAACAUGGGGUAAUACCGAAUGAGCUCUUUUUACUAUGGUGAGAAGAGGAAAAGCGCUUCGGCGCUGCCUUGUGAUGAGCCUGCGGCUGAUUAGCUUGUUGGUGGGGUAACGGCCUACCAAGGCAACGAUCAGUAGCCGGCCUGAGAGGGUGAUCGGCCACACUGGGACUGAGAUACGGCCCAGACUCCUACGGGAGGCAGCAGCUAAGAAUCUUCCGCAAUGGACGAAAGUCUGACGGAGCGACGCCGCGUGGGUGAAGAAGGCCGAGAGGUUGUAAAGCCCUUUUCUGUCUGAGGAAUAAGCUUGGGAGGGAAUGCCCGAGUGAUGACGGUAGGACAGGAAUAAGCCCCGGCUAAUUACGUGCCAGCAGCCGCGGUAACACGUAUGGGGCGAGCGUUGUUCGGAAUUAUUGGGCGUAAAGGGCGCGUAGGCGGAUAUACAAGUCUGGUGUGAAAGACCGCAGCUUAACUGCGGGAGCGCGCUGGAAACUGUAUGUCUUGAAUCCUUGAGGGGAAACUGGAAUUCCUGGUGUAGGGGUGAAAUCUGUAGAUAUCAGGAAGAACAUCGGUGGCGAAGGCGAGUUUCUGGCAAGUGAUUGACGCUGAGGCGCGAAAGCGUGGGGAGCAAACAGGAUUAGAUACCCUGGUAGUCCACGCUGUAAACGAUGUGCACUAGGCGUUGGGGUGUUGAAACCUCAGUGCCGGAGCUAACGUGGUAAGUGCACCGCCUGGGGAGUAUGCCGGCAACGGUGAAACUCANAGGAAUUGACGGGGGCCCGCACAAGCGGUGGAGCAUGUGGUUUACUUCGAUGAUACGCGA